UACGGAGGGGGCUAGCGUUGUUCGGAAUUACUGGGCGUAAAGCGCACGUAGGCGGCUUUGUAAGUUAGAGGUGAAAGCCCAGGGCUUAACCCUGGAAUUGCCUUUAAGACUGCAUCGCUAGAAUCGUGGAGAGGUGAGUGGAAUUCCGAGUGUAGAGGUGAAAUUCGUAGAUAAUUGGGGAAGAACACCGGUGGCGAAGGCGGCGACCUGGUCCGAUACUGGACGCUGAGGCGCGAAAGCGUGGGGAGCAAACAGG
rnacentral:rRNA from 1 species